GUUUUGUGCUGUGUGUUGAUUCUUGGAGCAGCAGUGAAGAAUCUCUAGACUCACAAUGACACAAACACUCACUCUGCUGCUGGUUGCUUCUUUGCUUCACUGUGUUACAGGUCAGAGUAUGGAGUCCAUUCCUUCCAGUCCUGUAGUGAAACGGCCUGGGGAGACUCUCAGUCUCUCCUGCAGAGGAUCUGGUUUCAGUUUUGGCAGCUAUGCUAUGAACUGGAUAAGACAAAAGCCAGGAAAAGCACUGGAAUGGAUGGGAAUUGGCUACUCAGAUUCCAGCAGCAACAAAUACGUGAGCAGUUUGAGUGGACGAAUCGAAAUCACCAAAGACACCAGCAACAGCAUGGUACAUCUGAGACUUUCCAGCCUAAAGCCAGAGGACUCUGCUGUGUAUUACUGUGCCAAACACACACAGUGAUUUAAGUAAUGAGAGAGGCUUUACAAAAACCUUCAACCAUACAGUUUCACAGGAACCUACAGGGGGCAGUAGAUGAUCAAGAAUAUGAUGUUCAACUAACUGUCACAAUAACACCUGUGAUUCUACCAUCUGUGAAUACAUAUUAGUAAAAUGCACAGAAUCUACAAACAUGUUAUGGUAACAAUGAAAAACA